GAUGAACGCUGGCGGCGUGCUUAACACAUGCAAGUCGAACGGGAAACCUUUUAAUGAAGCUUCGGCAGAUUUAGCUGGUUUCUAGUGGCGGACGGGUGAGUAACGCGUGGGUAACCUGCCUUAUACAGGGGGAUAACAGUCAGAAAUGACUGCUAAUACCGCAUAAGCGCACAGGGCCGCAUGGUCCGGUGUGAAAAACUCCGGUGGUAUAAGAUGGACCCGCGUUGGAUUAGCUUGUUGGUGGGGUAACGGCUCACCAAGGCGACGAUCCAUAGCCGGCCUGAGAGGGUGAACGGCCACAUUGGGACUGAGACACGGCCCAGACUCCUACGGGAGGCAGCAGUGGGGAAUAUUGCACAAUGGGGGAAACCCUGAUGCAGCGACGCCGCGUGAAGGAAGAAGUAUCUCGGUAUGUAAACUUCUAUCAGCAGGGAAUAUAGUGACGGUACCUGACUAAGAAGCCCCGGCUAACUACGUG
rnacentral:rRNA from 1 species